UGGGGAAUAUUGCGCAAUGGGGGGAACCCUGACGCAGCCAUGCCGCGUGAAUGAAGAAGGCCUUAGGGUUGUAAAGUUCUUUCGGUAUUGAGGAAGGUUGAUGUGUUAAUAGCACAUCAAAUUGACGUUAAAUACAGAAGAAGCACCGGCUAACUCCGUGCCAGCAGCCGCGGUAAUACGGAGGGUGCGAGCGUUAAUCGGAAUAACUGGGCGUAAAGGGCACGCAGGCGGUUAUUUAAGUGAGGUGUGAAAGCCCCGGGCUUAACCUGGGAAUUGCAUUUCAGACUGGAUAACUAGAGUACUUUAGGGAGGGGUAGAAUUCCACAUGUAGCGGUGAAAUGCGUAGAGAUGUGGAGGAAUACCGAAGGCGAAGGCAGCCCCUUGGGAAUGUACUGACGCUCAUGUGCGAAAGCGUGGGGAGCAAACAGGAUUAGAUACCCUGGUAGUCCACGCUGUAAACGCUGUCGAUUUGGGGGUUGGGGUUUAACUCUGGCGCCCGUAGCUAACGUGAUAAAUCGACCGCCUGGGGAGUACGGCCGCAAGGUUA
rnacentral:rRNA from 1 species